AAUUACAGUACAGGUAGUGAAAUCUCAAAUUUCCAUAUAUCAAAUCUGGUCUCCAGUUGCAGGGUUGAAUGAUGUAAUGGCUCCUUCAUUUUGCUGUUGAAAUAGGCAUCCUCAGCUUGUUUAAUACUGAAACUGAAAAGCAUAUAUUCUGGUGUGGCAGUUUCAAUGUGCAAGUUUUUCGAAGAUGUCGAAGCCAUAUGCAACUUACAUAAUUGGAGGUUCAGCAGGAGCACUUGCAUUUGUUGUUAUAGUCAUUGGAAUCAUUUGGUUCUGCAAAUCACAUUGCAAAUAUUUCUCAAAUAAGAACUCCGAAACAGGCUCCUCAGAUCCAUCAGCACAAGGUAAUACCCUGCUAAAAGAAAAAAAAAUUGAGAACCUUUUCUAAUAGCUAAUCAAAUACCUUCUCUUGUCUGUGAAUCUGUUUGCUGCAUUACAGCGGAGUGGAAUAGGGGAGGUGGAGCCAGCUCCAGUGGAGGCCAGCCCCUGUUU
rnacentral:lncRNA from 1 species